rnacentral:piRNA from 1 species
UGUCGUCAAAUUCCAGCGAUACUCAGUUG